rnacentral:rRNA from 1 species
GUCCUUUAGAAUAGAAUUUAAGGUUUAACCUGCCCAUUGAUUAUUUUAACGGCCGCAGUAUAUUGACUGUGCAAAGGUAGCAUAAUCAUUAGUUUUUUAAUUGAAAGCUUGUAUGAAUGGUUGGACGAGAUAUAAGCUGUCUUUAAGAUAUAGUUAGAAUUUAAUUUUUAAGUUAAAAAGCUUAAAUAAAUUUAAAAGACGAGAAGACCCUAUAGAUCUUUAUAAAAAUAAAAGUUUAAUUUUUAAGGAUUAUUAGUUUUUAUAUUUUUAUGUUUAUUUAGUUGGGGUAAUAAAAAGAUUUAAUUAAUUCUUUUUGUAUUAGACAUUGAUAAGUGAUUUAAGUGAUCCAUUAUUUAUGAUUGUAAGAUUAAGUUACCUUAGGGAUAACAGCGUAAUUUUUUUUGAGAGUUCUUAUUGAUAAAAAAGUUUGCGACCUCGAUGUUGGAUUAAAGUUAAUUUUGGGUGUAGAAUUUCAAAGUUUUAGUCUGUUCGACUAUUAAAAUUUUACAUGAUCUGAGUUCAAACCGGUGUGAGCCAGGUUGGUUUCUAUCUUUAAUUAGUGAAUAUAUUUUAGUACGAAAGGACCAAGUAUUUGAUAUAUAGUAUUAUAAAUUUUGAGUAAAAUU